UGUUAGUAAUAAAUUUUAGAAACUCAAAUGUCAAAUACAUAUGUGUACGAUGAACAUGGAAUUUAUCGUUUGUAUAAUUCGACGUCGCGAUUUGGAUGAAUGUCCAAUCUGUUCCUGUGUUGGCGAAACUUUUAGGUUAUGUUUACCUGUAAAAUGUUGAGUGUUCAAUUUGUUGAAGUUAACACUUGCCGAAACCCAUCAUAUAAUUGGAGUUUUAAUUUAAUAUCCUCCAAUUCCUGGAUGACAAACUCCUAAUUGAAACCCACGUGUUGGACGUAUCUUCCACAGAUAUUUAUCCAGAAGUACAAAAUUGAAAUACAG